AACAAAAACAGCCCAGGACUCUGAAGGGCUUUGUUAUGCCAAGGGCUCUUAGACUCUGUUUGUCCAUUAUGUAAGUGGAAAGGGAAGAGAACCAAGGUCCUGUUCUGAUGUGACUGCGCAACACUGCCCUGUUUGUGACGCGUGGGGACCCAAGUGGCAGCUCCGACAUUACCACCGGGGCAACAGCUCAGCGACCUGAAGUCAGAAUUGCAGGUGUCACUGGGGGUUGGGCUCUCACACCACCACAAUGGUUUCUAAAACCGUCACAGUCCGAUGGCCUCCUUCGUCAGAAUAAUCAUCCCAACGCUGGACACACAGAGAGACUAGAGAGUUGGUCUCCGCUGUGAAUGUUUCCAGGAGGAUUCCUGUCACUGGGGAAAUAAGGCCAGUAGGGGUGGGGAAGGGGUGGCAAACUGUAGUGGUAAAUAUUUAAUAUUCAUAUUAAUACCUACACCGCCUUGGAUCAUUUAGUUCCCAGAGAAAGGACACAAACCUUUACAUUAUAGUAAGCCUCAACAGCACUAAAGUUGGGCAGAUAUCAACCCUCUAAGCUAUGAUAUCUACUUUCCCAUCAUAACCCUGAGUUAUAACUUGUCAUGUUCUGCCUGGACUGCUCUUCCUCCAACUGGCCAGCCCUCAUGGCUGUGUUUUCAUGAUUCACCUAUACCUGAUCCUCUCUCCACCUUCUCUCUCUUUUCUAGUAGUCCUGCCUCAGACCCUAAUCCCCCUAAAUGGAAAAAAAAUGCUGCCUACCUCUCUUCUGCCCAGCUAAGGUUGUAGGCAUCUAUACUGACCAAUUAGGGAUGACUUGGUGGGCAAGGUUACAUAGCAUCACCUGGUGUUCCUGAGGAUCUCCUCGUCGCUGAGAAAGCCAGAGCCAGUAUUUAGCAAAAAACAUAGCAACAGACUAAGCCUCAACAGUUUUAAAAUAAAGAUCAAGGCUUGCACCAAAAAAGCUGGUAAGCGUGAGAAUUCACCCACAGGCCUAGACCUUCGGGUACGGAAUUUGGCAUCACGAUACCCAGCAACUGAUCGAACCUCAACACAAACCUUCACGCCUGACUGGAUCCUUUCCCAAGUUUGAAGAUGCCGAAGAAACUCUCUUCCUUUGCACAUUCUGUGAAGAGGAAACUCCCCCUCCUCCACCUCUUCGUUAGAUUUUAAUAAAAUAAUGAAAUUCUGUAUUUUCAGAGCCAGGUUCUAAAAUAUCAUUCAUUAACAUUAAAGAUAGAAUGCCAAGGGGUGGGGCUUAGUUUUAGAAACAAAAAAUGGAGUGUUUGGUGAAGUGGAAAUUUCUAGUUUCUUUGGAAACUCAAGUAUGUCAUGUGAUUUUUUUUUCUUUUUGGAAGCUGUCUUGUAAGAGAAUGUUCUGAAGCAGACAUGUGAGAGGGUGAGUGAUGUUUGGAAAGAGUAUAAAUGGGACCCCACAGACAGUGCGAGGAUGCUCUUGCAUUGUAGUACCAUGUAACACUUUGCUGGUCUUCACUUCGAAGACAGAAACUCGUCAAAGAACUUCUUGUGGUAUUCCAGCUGAUUCUUGCCAAUCUGGUGGAGCCGUGCAGUUUCUGCUGGAUUGAGCUGCUGCUACUGAUUUGUAUUUGAUGUUUGCUGUUGGACUAAACUGCUGGUAUCUGGACAACAAAGAAUGGUGUCACUCCCAAAGAACUACUUCUAAACAGAAACAGUGAUCCUGGGGCAGGCGCCUCCUAGUGCUGGUGAGCUGUCUCAGUGCAGUAAAGGUGAAGCCCCCCGGACACAGAACUCGUGAGCUGGAAGAAAUUCUGACAUGGACACCCCAGCAAUACCGGGAGAGCUGAGUGGAGUCAAGGAAAAGUACUACUUCUACACUCUGGUCAAAAGCUUUUGUGACCGGAAACAAACAGGUCCACUUUUAGGAAAUAACUGUUCAACCCCUCUCUGGUCUAGGAGUGUUCAGCAUCUUGAGUGUUCUCCUUUUUGAAGUGGGAAAAUGUUAUUUUCAAAGAAAGCACUAGAUGGCACUUGUGAUGUGUUCAAUAGUUGCCUCGGCUCCCUUUUGGAUAAGGUGUGUGUGUGUGUGGGGGGGGAUGCAAUAAAUAUUAAAAUGGGAAAAUCAUCAUUACAAUAAUGAAGAUCAGUAUCUUAUGAUUGUGUUUACUGUGUUACUAUGUAUGAGCGAUAUCUUUAUGCAGUGUUUGCAUUUAAAAUCUGGGCUUCACUUUAUGAGAACUGCAAGAGGGAGCUAACAUCUCUAAUACAUGGAAACCCUUCAUCAGUGAAAUAAUAAAAUGAAAAUAAUGUUUGAUUUA